rnacentral:rRNA from 1 species
GACGAACGCUGGCGGCGUGCCUAAUACAUGCAAGUAGAACGCUGAAGGAGGAGCUUGCUUCUCUGGAUGAGUUGCGAACGGGUGAGUAACGCGUAGGUAACCUGCCUGGUAGCGGGGGAUAACUAUUGGAAACGAUAGCUAAUACCGCAUAAGAGUAGAUGUCGCAUGACAUUUGCUUAAAAGGUGCAAUUGCAUCACUACCAGAUGGACCUGCGUUGUAUUAGCUAGUUGGUGAGGUAACGGCUCACCAAGGCAACGAUACAUAGCCGACCUGAGAGGGUGAUCGGCCACACUGGGACUGAGACACGGCCCAGACUCCUACGGGAGGCAGCAGUAGGGAAUCUUCGGCAAUGGACGGAAGUCUGACCGAGCAACGCCGCGUGAGUGAAGAAGGUUUUCGAAUCGUAAAGCUCUGUUGUAAGAGAAGAACGAGUGUGAGAGUGGAAAGUUCACACUGUGACGGUAUCUUACCAGAAAGGGACGGCUAACUACGUG